rnacentral:rRNA from 1 species
AACGAACGCUGGCGGCAGGCUUAACACAUGCAAGUCGAACGCCCCGCAAGGGGAGUGGCAGACGGGUGAGUAACGCGUGGGAACGUGCCCUUCGCUUCGGAAUAGCCCCGGGAAACUGGGAGUAAUACCGGAUACGCCGUAUUGGGAAAGAUUCAUCGGCGAAGGAUCGGCCCGCGUUGGAUUAGCUAGUUGGCGGUGUAAUGGACCACCAAGGCUACGAUCCAUAGCUGGUCUGAGAGGAUGAUCAGCCACACUGGGACUGAGACACGGCCCAGACUCCUACGGGAGGCAGCAGUGGGGAAUAUUGGACAAUGGGCGAAAGCCUGAUCCAGCAAUGCCGCGUGAGUGAUGAAGGCCUUAGGGUUGUAAAGCUCUUUUACCAGGGAUGAUAAUGACAGUACCUGGAGAAUAAGCUCCGGCUAACUCCGUGCCAGCCGCCGCGGUAACAC